rnacentral:lncRNA from 1 species
AAAAAAGUUCACAAUUUAAAAACAACAACACAAAACCAAAACAAAAGAAGCAAGAAGCUAAAGAAAAACAAAGAUAAGCUGAAUUAGAAGCUACUCAAUUAGCAAAGGAGAAAGAACUUAUAAUUAGACAACAAGUAUUACUGGCAAAGAAAGAAAAAGACAUCCAAAAAAAAAAACAUUACAAAGAAAUGAAAGAAAAAGAAAGAAAGGCAAAAACUUCGAAACUCAUCUAAGAUCUGGAAUCACUUUUCCAACAAUGAGGCAGGGUGGGUUAAAAUGAUGGAAGAAGAAGAAAUAAAUGAACAAAUUACGAAGGAGAAACAGGAAGGUGGGGCUCGUAUGUAAUAAGCAUCUAAGAAUGCAGAGAAAUAAACUGGCAGAGGUGGAAAUGGCAGCAACAACUGGUAAGAAGAUGAUCUGCAGCUACAAGUUAAAGCUAUGAAUCUCUUCCCUGCUGGUAUGAAUUCAAGAUGGGAAGUUGGUAAGUUAUUGCUAAUUACAUCAACAUACAUUCUUCUACUGAUGUCAAGACAACCACCAAAGGUGUUACUGGCAAAGCAAAGAGCCUCCAAAAAUUGGACCCUCAUCAAAAAGAUGACAAACAAAAAAGGCUUUUGAUAAACUUUAAAAAGAACAUUGCCUCAAGCAGACAAUGAAACACCUUCAGAAUGAUUUUACAGUCCAUGCACCCACUUCACCCCUUGGAGAACGAACAGAAGCUUUUUGAACAAGCUUUGAAAACACACCCAGUCAACACACCUGAAAGAUGAGAGAAAACAGCACAAACUGCCAGUACCUGGCAGGACAAAGAAAGGCUGCAUGAAAAGAUGCAAGGAACUUGCCAAGAUGGUAAAAGCAAAGAAAGCUGCUCAAGAGCA